GAUGAACGCUGGCGGCGUGCCUAAUACAUGCAAGUCGAGCGAACAGAUAAGGAGCUUGCUCCUUUGAAGUUAGCGGCGGACGGGUGAGUAACACGUGGGUAACCUACCUAUAAGACUGGGAUAACUUCGGGAAACCGGAGCUAAUACCGGAUAACAUUUAGAACCGCAUGGUUCUAAAGUGAAAGAUGGUUUUGCUAUCACUUAUAGAUGGACCCGCGCCGUAUUAGCUAGUUGGUAAGGUAACGGCUUACCAAGGCGACGAUACGUAGCCGACCUGAGAGGGUGAUCGGCCACACUGGAACUGAGACACGGUCCAGGCUCCUACGGGAGGCAGCAGUAGGGAAUCUUCCGCAAUGGGCGAAAGCCUGACGGAGCAACGCCGCGUGAGUGAUGAAGGGUUUCGGCUCGUAAAACUCUGUUAUUAGGGAAGAACAAAUGUGUAAGUAACUGUGCACAUCUUGACGGUACCUAAUCAGAAAGCCACGGCUAACUACGUGCCAGCAGCCGCGGUAAU
rnacentral:rRNA from 1 species